AACGAACGCUGGCGGCAGGCCUAACACAUGCAAGUCGAGCGAGACCUUCGGGUCUAGCGGCGGACGGGUGAGUAACGCGUGGGAACGUGCCCUUUUCUACGGAAUAGCCUCGGGAAACUGAGCGUAAUACCGUAUCUGCUCUCUGGGGGAAAGAUUUAUCGGAGAAGGAUCGGCCCGCGUUGGAUUAGGUAGUUGGUGGGGUAAUGGCCUACCAAGCCUACGAUCCAUAGCUGGUUUGAGAGGAUGAUCAGCCACACUGGGACUGAGACACGGCCCAGACUCCUACGGGAGGCAGCAGUGGGGAAUCUUAGACAAUGGGGGCAACCCUGAUCUAGCCAUGCCGCGUGAGUGAUGAAGGCCUUAGGGUUGUAAAGCUCUUUCAGCUGGGAAGAUAAUGACGUUACCAGCAGAAGAAGCCCCGGCUAACUCCGUG
rnacentral:rRNA from 1 species